CACCGGCGGCUCGAGUGGUGGCCACUUUUAUUGGGUCUAAAGCGUCCGUAGCCGGCUUGGCAAGUCCCCUGGGAAAUCUGGCGGCUUAACCGUCAGGCGUCCAGAGGAUACUGCCAGGCUUGGGACCGGGAGAGGUGAGAGGUACCUCAGGGGUAGGGGUGAAAUCUUGUGAUCCCUGUGGGACCACCAGUGGCGAAGGCGUCUCACUAGAACGGGUCCGACGGUCAGGGACGAAAGCUGGGGGCACGAACCGG
rnacentral:rRNA from 1 species